UACUACGUAGCAGCUCCGUGCCAAAGUUAUAAAAGCAACGAGAGUCUCGGCCACGCCCUGUGGCGAGUGGGAGUUGGAUUUGCAAGCGAGCGUAGGAGGUCAGCGGUAGUUCAGCAUUAGCAUAUAGCAUUAGCAUAUCCUAGUCUUAGCAUAUCCUUUAGUGUUAUAAAUACUUAUUUAGUGUUAGAUUUGGCUGUUGGAUAUUGUAGUUGAGUUAGUGUUUGGCUGUUAGUGUAAUUGGGAAAGUAUUUCGGGUUUAGUGCUCCAUAUCGUCUUAGUAUUGGUGAGUAGGUGUAGUGUAGUAUGCUUGCGGUGACUCUGUGGGCAUUUUACCCGCGAUUCUGCACGUCUCCGUUUGAAGAGGGAGGCUGUGCCCACCGUGGCUCCUCCGCGAUUUAGAUGCAGCCCACGGACUCUGCUCCCCCACCACGGCGGGCUCCAGUCUGAGGUGAGUACGCUAAAUAAACGUUUUAACAUCUUCUAAAGACAAUUCCCUACCUAAAUGCAAAGUCUGAGAGACAUGGUUCACUUCCUUUAGCUAGUCAGUCGGCAAUUCUGCAACAGUGGCUCUAACUGACGCAGCACUUGACAGACAGCAUUACAGCGUGAAAUCCAGCUUGUGAACAGGUUCUGUGAGGAAUUCUGUUCAGGAGGUCUCCUUUCAGGCUCUCCACAUCAUAUGUGCCGUAGUCACGUGCGUGGUUAGCACUGUGGGACAUCCUGUUGUCGUUGCGUUGAAACUUUUGAUAUCUUUUAUGAUGAAAAGAACACCUAAGCCAUCGGGAUCAGCAUUCUGGAAGUGAAGGAAGGAAGAAGAAAAUAAACGGGCCCAAAGCAGAGCGUCUUCUAUCCAGGCAUCACGCAGCAGCACAUUUACUGAGCUACAAUCUCAGCAUCUAGAACCAGAAAAAGAACCCAACACCAGCAGACUCCGUGCUCCAAUCCAACAGCCUGAAGAGACGCCAUCAUCAGCUUCAACAGAUGUCUGUGAACAUGUAUGAGCUGCUGGCCCCAUGGAUCCUGCUGACUGGCCACAGCAGUUGAAGAAAAUGGAAAGUAGAACUUUCUUUAUGAUGACACUUAGAUAUUUGAGUUUUGCUUUUGAUUGCACAGUUUAAUGCUGCUUUUGAUUUUGCAUCCUCCAAUGACAUUUGCACAACAUUUUGAGUUGUUGGUUAUUGUAAUAUUCUCAGGUUACUUAUCUUUCAAGCUUACAUUUAUUGUUCAGGCUGUUGACUUUAAAGAGUUGCUGUGUGAAUAUUUAAAAUAAAAAAUUAGUAACCAAGGAAUAACUGUGGAGUUGCUUUUUCCAAUGUGCGGAUCGCAGAUUCAGCCACACCAUAAAACAGCAAUAAGUCGGUCUGAGGCAAAAGUGAACCUCAUGGCUUUUCCAUCUUUUCCCAUAUAGACAUUUGAUUACGCACAAGUAGGUGAUCAGCUCAGGUUUACGCAGAACAGAAGGAAGGAGAGCGCUCUGGCCGCACAGGUUAAACGUUCCUACUUUAAGAAAACUGUGAAAUUGCAUUGUUUAUGUGCUAC